CUCACACACUCAGAGUAAUUUAGACACAGCCACACUCACAGACACAAACACUCUUACAAACUCUCCCAGACACUUCCACACUGUCAUAGACACAAAUAUACACAAAACCUCUCAAUUCCGCUCCAGGUAAAAUAAAACACACUCAAUAUUUUAAAGCUUUUUAAGUUAUGGUUGUGCUGUCAUCGAGGAAUUAGAAGUAGCUGGUGGGGAAUGUCACUCACCUGUGAGAACAGC